AUGAUCAGAGGAGCUGGGCUCCUUGCGAGCUCAACCUAUUCUCAAACUUUCAAUGGGUGAGACGUCUCGCUGGCUUCACUGCAGCGACGACUCUGAAUCCGAGUGCCCAGUGGGCCACUUUUGGUAAGCAGAACUGGCGAUGCGGGAUGAACCGCAUGUCGAGUUAAGGUGCCUAAGCGGACGCAAAUCAGAUACCAUGAAAGGUGUUGAUUGCUCACGACAGCAGGACGGUGGCCAUGGAAGUCGGCAUCCGCUAAGGAGUGUGUAACAACUCACCUGCCGAAGCAAUCAGCCCUGAAAAUGGAUGGCGCUAAAGCGUUCCACCGAUACUCGACCGUCGUCGGCAGGCGACGUGCAUGCCACGUCUCAAGCCACGACGAGUAGGGCGGCGCGGUGGUGAGCGUUGAAGGCGUAGCCGCGAGGCUAGCUGGAGCCGCCAUCGGUGCAGAUCUUGGUGGUAGUAGCAAAUACACAAGCAAGAUCCUUGUGGACCGAUGUGGAGAAGGGUUCCGCGCGAACAGUACUUGGACGUGGGUGAGUCGGCCCUAAGCCAACGGGUAAUUCCCGCAUCCCGU
rnacentral:rRNA from 1 species